rnacentral:lncRNA from 1 species
GUCUCACAGCAACGCCGGCUCCUUAACCCACUGAACAAGGCCAGGGAUCAAGCCCGCAACCUCAUGGUUCCUAGUCGGAUUCAUUUCUGCUGUGCCAUGAUGGGAACUCCAAGUUUUGUCUUUUUCUUUUGCUGUGCCUGUGACAUGCAGAAGUUCCCAGGCUAGGGGUCGAAUCGGAGCUGUAGCUGCCAGCCUACGCCAGAGCCACAGCAACGCAGGAUCCGAGCCGAGUCUGCAAUCUACACCACAGCUCACGGCAACGCCGGAUCGUUAACCCACUGAGCGAGGCCAGGGAUCGAACCCGCAACCUCAUGGUUCCUAGUCGAAUUCGUUAACCACUGCGCCACGACAGGAACUCCAGUUUAUUGAUUUUAGAUCUUUCUUUUCUAAUAUAUGCUUUCAAUACUAUACCUUUUUCUCUAAGUACUGUUUUUGCUGUAUCCCCUAAAUUUCAGUAAGUUGUAAUUUCAUUUUGUCCAAACAUUUAAAAAAUUCUCUUUUUUUCUUCUUUGAGUCAUGUGUUAUUUAGAAGUGUGAUGUUUAAUUUUGCAGUACUUAGGGUUUUUCUUUCUUUCUUUCUUUCUUUUUUUUUUUGUCUUUUUGCUAUUUCUUGGGCUGCUCCCGCGGCAUAUGGAGGUUCCCAGGCUAGGGGUCUAAUCGGAGCUGUAGUCUCUGGCCUACGCCAGAGCCAUAGCAACUCGGGAUCCGAGCCGCAUCUGCAACCUACACCACAGCUCACGGCAAUGCCGGAUCGUUAACCCACUGAGCAAGGGCAGGGACCGAACCCGCCACCUCGUGGUUCCUAGUCGGAUUCGUUAACCACUGCGCCACAACGGGAACUCCUACUUAGGGGUUUUCUAGCUGUCUUUCUGUUACUAAUUUCUACUUUAAUUGCAUUGUGGUUUAAGGGCAGACAUUGGAUGAUUUCUGUUCUUUUAAAUUUGUUAAGGUGCGUUUCGUAGAAUGUGGCCUAUCUUGGUGAACGUUCUACAUGAGUUUGAGAAGAAUGUGUGAUAGGCUGUUGUUGGGCGAAGUAGUCCAGGCAUGUCGAUUACAUAGCAUUGAUUGAUGGCCCUGUUGAGUUCCGUUGUGUCUUCACUGAUUUUCUGCCUGCUGGAUUUGUCCAUUUUGUAUAGAGGAGGAUUGAAGACCUGAGUUAUUGUAGUGAAUUUAUCUAUUUCUCCUUGCUGUUUUAUCCAGUUUUGACUCAUGAAUUGUAAUGCUGUUGUGAGAUGCAUAACAUUAAGGAUUGUUAGGUCUUUUUGGAGUAUUGACAACCCCCCCUUUCCCUUUGUAAUAACUUUUUUUUCCCUUUUUUUGGUUUUUAGGGCUGCACCCGCAGCAUAUGGAAGUUCCCAGGCUCAGGGUCAAAUCAGGGCUACAGUUGCCAGUCUACACCACAGCCAUAGCAAUGUGGGAUCGGAGCCACAUCCACGACCUACACCACAGCUCGUGGCAAUGCUGGAUCCUUAACCCCCUGAGCAAGGCCACGGAUGGAACCCGCAUCCUUGUGGGUACUAAUCAGGUUCAUUACUGCUGAGCCACAAAGGCAAUUCCGCUCCCACUUUGUUUUAUUAGUGUUAGUAAGUGUAAUUCCAUCCCUUUACUUUUUUUAUUAUUAUUAGAGUAUAGUUGACUUACAAUGUUGAGCCAACUUCUGCUGUAUGUCCCUUUGCUAUUAACCUAUACGUGUCCCUGUGUUUAAAGUGGGUUUCUUGUAGGAAAUAUAUCAUAUGCCUGUGUGUAGGUUUUUGUUCUUGUUUUUGUUUCGCAUUUAUCCAGCUUGGUGUUCUUUGAGAGUUCUGGAUCUGUGGUUUGGUACAUGACCUUUUGGAGAACAUUCUCAGUCAUUAUUUCUUCAAAUGCUUUUUCUUUUUUUCCCCGUUUCCUUCUGGCAUUCCUAUUGCAUAUACGUUAUGCCUUUGGUAGUUGCCCCAUAGUUCUUGAUAUUCUGCUCCCUGCCCCUGCUCCCCCCACCCCAGUUUUUUUUCUCUUUGUGUUUCCACUUUGGAAGUUCGUAGGGUCUCAUCUUCAUGCUCAGUUUCUUUCCUCAGCUGUGUCCAGUCUGCCAAUGAGCUUAUCGAAGGCAGUCUUCAGUCUUUCUUUCUUUCUUUUGAAUUUAAUUUUAUUGGAGUUUAGCUGACUUACACUGUUGUAUUGGAAGGUAUUCUUCAUUUCCAUUACAGUGUUUCAGUCUCUAGCAUUUUUUUCUUUUUGCUUCCUAGGAUUUUUAUCUUUUUACAUUAUUCGUCUGUUACUGCAUGAAGUCAGCCUUUUUUGUUAAAGCUUUUAGCUUGUUCAUCAUGAUUCAGAAAAUUCCUGGUCUGAUAAUUCCAACAUUUCUGACAUAUGUGACUGAUGCUGGUGCCUGUUCAGUUCUUCACUUUAGUAAUCUGUUUUUGAAAGACAGACGUAGUCACUGGUCAAAGGAGCUGUGAAGAAUAGGCCUUUAGAGCUGCAGUGGUGAUGUGGGGGAGUGCUCUGUGGUCCUGUGACACGGUCUCCGUCUCUGGGUGAGCCCGCACCCCUGAACUGUGACCUUUACCAGUGCUUCUCUGCUUUGUUCCUUUCGUAGGUGGGACAGGAUGGCUAGAGUGGCCUGGAGUUGUGUACUUCCCUUCCUCAUGCGGAAGGUUAGAGGGGCUGGAGUUGGAUAUUUCCCUUCCUCCAGGUAGGUUAGGUUCUGGUAAAACCCCAGCGGGUUAGGUUUUGGUAAAAUAGGUGGUUUUUUGUUUUUUCUUUCUUUUUUUUCUUUUUUGGCCGCCCCAUGGCAUAUGGAGUUCCCAGGCCGGGGAUCUGAUCCGAGCCACAGUUGCAGCCUAUGGCGCAGCCGUGGCAACACUGGAUCCUUAACCCACUGAGAUACUGUGCUGGGUGGGGGAUUGAACCUGCAUCCCAGAGCUCCAGAGAUACCACUGAUCCUGUUAUGCCGCAGCAGGAACUCCAAAAUAGUAUUUUUGAAGGCCAGCUUUGUUAAGAACAGAAUGUCCAGGUAUAUUUCAGAACUGUUCCUUUUCCCUCCCAGAAACAAGAGAGGAGGGGAGAAGUCUCUCCACUUACUACUGAAGGACACUUGUGUAGCUUCCACGUACUGGCAGUUAUGGAUGAAGCUGCUGUAAACCUCUGUGUGCAGGUUUUUGUGUGGACAUAAGUUUUCAACUCCUUUGGGUAAAUACCAGCAACAUUGUUGGGUUGUAUGGUAAGGAUUGUAGGGUAGUUUUGUAAGAAACUGCUAAGCUGUCUUCCAGCUGCCUCUGGCUGUUUGCGCUUCCAGCAGGAAAUGAGAGUUCCUGCUGCCCCACAUCCUCACCAGCAUUUGGUGUCAGUGUUUUGGACUUUGGUCGUUCUUCUGGUGUGUAGUGGUAUCACGUGGUUUUAAUUUGCAUUUCUCUGACGACAUGAUGAUGUGGAGCAGUUUUCAUAUGAUCACGUCAUUUUUAAUCACUGUAUUUCAUGAGGUAGACCAAAGCACCUUGGUGCAGAUACAGCCAUUAUUAUUUCAAUUCCAUACAUUUGUGGAUGGCCUGGAAUGUUUAUCCUGUGGUGGUCCCCGCAGUGUGCUGUGACUUCUGUAUUUAGACAUUUCUCUUUUUUCUGUUAUAAACUCUUGGGUCAGUGUCAUGUAUGAGACUUUCGGCUUAGGAUAAACACCUUAGGAUGCACUCACUAGAGCAGAGUGAGCCAAAGAAUGUAUAGAUUUUAACAUCCUUUCAUAUCCAUGACCAGAGAAAUCACCCAGUUUAUACUUCUGUCAGCAGUUCCAGCCAGUUUUAUAUUAAUACAUAUUUAAAAUCUUUUUUUAUCAAGGGAGAGUUUUAACACAGAGACAUAGAAUAAUGUAAUGACCCCUCUGGUACUCAGCUCCAACAGUCAUACACCAAGGCCAGUCCUGUCCUACUUGCUCCUUCAGUGCCCACUUCUCUCCUGUGUUGUCACAAAAUAGUAGCUCCACUGAACUGAGAUAGAAAUGCAGAAAAGUACGCAUGUCAUGAAUGGGUUUUCACAGUCUGACACUCCCUGGCUAGUCAGUGCCCCAGGUAUCACCUUUGUCUGCUUUCAGUCACACGCACUUUGCCUGCGGCAACCAGAAGCGUGAUAUCUGACUGCCUGGACUAUUUCUGCCCAGUUUUGUUUUCCUUUGACAUGUAGAAUCUUAUGGUAUGUUCACUUGGGUCUAGUUUUUCUCUUGGCAUUGUGUUUGAGAGUAUCCACGUGCUUGCAGUUGUUAAUUCUUUAUUUUUGUUGUAUAUGAAAAUUUAAUGUAUGAAAAUAUUUAUUCUGUUAUUGCUGGACGUUUGGAUAGUGCCCCUUUGGGGGCCAUUACAAAUAGUGCUGCUCUGAGCAUUCAGAGUUUGUGUCUUUUGAGGCGGGAGGGUCCAGAUGGCAGAGGAGUAAGACGUGGCGUUCACCUUCUCCCACAAAAACAUUGGAAAAAACCCAUCUGCAUGUAGAGUGAUGUGCACAGAACAUCUACUGAACGCUGGCAGAAGACCAAAGUUUGUGCCUUUCGGUGAACAUAUGUUUGCCUUUCUGUCGAGGAUAAACCUGGAAGUGAAAUUGCUAGGUCACCGGGGUGCAUGUAUUCAGUUUUGGAAAACUGUGGCUGUACCUACUAAAGUGGGGUCAUUUAGUUAUCCUCUCCCCGCCCCCGCCCCCUUUUUGAUUGCACCCAUGGCAUGUGGAAGUUCCCAGGCUGGGGAUCACACCUGAGCUACAGCAACGACUAGAGCUGCAGCAGUGCUGGCUCCUUAACCUGCUGAGCCACAAGGUAACUCCUGGUUAUCCUUUUUUAAUGAGUAAUAUUUGAGUCUCUUGUUCUUUCUUCUGUUGCAUUAUCUGUUCUUACUGUAUUAGCUCUUUGUUGCUAUAUAAUAAUAAUUAUCCCCAAACAUAGUGGCUUAUGACAACAGUAAACAUUAUCUCACAGUUUUUGUGGGUUAAGAACUUGGGAGCAGCUUGGCUGGGCCAUUCUGGCUUGGGUGUCACCAGCCUUCUGAAGACUUGACUGCAGCUGAGGGCCCUUCCCAAGCGGCUGGCUCACAGGCCUGGCAGGUUAGUCCUGGCUGUUCCUUUUCUGGUCGGCCUUCGUCAGAGUGUCCUGUCCUUGGGACGGGGUGACUGACUUUCCCCAGCACAGAGAUUUGAGAGAAAGAACACCAAGUGGAAACUGUCACACACACCCCCCCUUUUGGGCUGCCCCAUGGCAGAUGGAGUUCCCAGGCUAGGGAUCAGAUCCGAACCACAAUUGGGACCUACUACGAAAGAGCUGUGGCAACCCCAGGCCCUUAACCCACUCUGCCAGGCUGGGGAUUGAACCUGUGGCCUGGCGCUACGGAGAGACUGCCGAUCCUGUUGCGCCACAGCGGGAUCUCUGAAGCUAUCAUUUUUAUGACACAGCCUCAAAAGUCUCGGGGUGUUUAAUUUUGCCGUGGUCUGUUAGAAGAGAGUCACUUAAAUCAGCCCAGCUUGGGGAGUUAAGUUUUUUGAAACGAAUGUCAAAGAAUUUGUGGACAUUCUUUCUUUUUCAGCUGUGCCCACAGAAUGUGAGAGUUAUGGGGCCAGGGACUGAAUCCAAGCCAGAGCUCCGACCUGCACCACAGCUGCAGCCAUGCAGGAUCCUUAACCCGCUGUGCAGGGCUGGGGAUUGAACUGCUUCCCCCACCCAGUGACAGGCUGCAUCAUUAACUCACUGUGCCACAGCAGGAACUCCAAAGUUGUUAGAUAUAUUUUCUUUUUUUUUGUCUUUUUAGGCCCAUACCUGCAAAAUAUGGAAGCUCUCAGGCUAGGGGUCAAAUAGGAGCUGCAGCUGCUGGCUUAUACCACAGCCACAGCAGUGCGGGAUCUGAGCCGCUUCUGUGACCUACACCACAGCUCAUGGCAACACCGGAUCCUUAGCCCACUGAGGGAGGCCAGGGAUGGAACCUGAGUCCUCACGGAUACUAGUCAGGUUCAUUACCGCUGAGCCACAGUGGGAAUUCCAUAUAUUUAAAAAAAUUUUUUUUUCCCAUUUUUUAAAGUUUUAUUUUUGUGUAGAUGGUUUACAGUGUUGCGAUAGUCUCUGCUGUGCAGCAGAGGGAUUCAGUCAUGCCUGUACCACAUCCGUUCUUUUGCAGGUUCUUUUCCCAGGUAGGUUAUCACAGAGUACUGGGCGGAGUUUCCCUGUUGGCCAGUCGUUCCGUUCCGUGCACCCCAGGUACCUGCUAAUCCCAAGCCCUUAGCGUGGAUGUAUUUGCAAACGCGACACAUUGGUAGGGUUUCUUUCCUACCAGGAUUUCAUUCUGGAUGAGAAUCUUUGGGAGACAGAAGCAUCAUGAAUAUCUUUGCUUACUCCAUGGGCCGUCAUUAGUCUUUUGAGGAAGAGGAGUUAGUGUAAUUCACUGGAUUAGUUUCUCCUUCAUCCCUAGCCCUUUCUCAUUACUUUGAAGAAAAUCCAAAAACAGUCAUUUUGCUUCUUCUGUAUGUCAGUAUAGAUCUUUCAAAGAUAAAACCUUUUUUUUUUUUUUGGUUUUAACCAUAACAUAAUCACAAAACUGUAAUAAUCUAACAAACCCUACCACACAGUACUUGUUUAAUAUUAUCCAAUACCUGAUUGGAGGUGAAUAUCCAUUUGUCUCAAUACAAUUUUUAUGUACUAUUUUUUUCUAUUUUGGCAAAUCAGGCUCCAAAUAAGUGUAACAAUUCAGACAAUCUACAGAUUCCCCAGUCAUCACUCUUCCACAACCCCUUUGCCAUCUGUUUGUCAAAGACCUGGAAUUUUUGUUUUGUGGUAUCCCCACUGUCCUCUGUUGUGUACACAGCUAAGUUUCUUCUUUGGGCCGGGAACUCUCUUGCCAUCUCACUGGUGUUUCUUCUUUGGUUGUGAUCUGUCUCUGGAGGUUGAAUGUGGACCCAAAUUGAAA